rnacentral:rRNA from 1 species
AACGAACGCUGGCGGCGGGCUUAACACAUGCAAGUCGAACGGAAAGGCCCUGCUUUUGUGGGGUGCUCGAGUGGCGGACGGGUGAGUAACAGGUGUGUAACCUGACCUUGACUUUGGGAUAACUUCAGGAAACUAGAGCUAAUAUCGGAUCGGAGACCCCGUUCCAUGGAGGGGAUUGGAACGUUUCGGCGGGUGGGGAUGGACUCGCGGCUUAUCAGCUUGUUGGUGGGGUAGUGGCUUACCAAGGCUUUGGAGGGUAGCCGGCCUGAGAGGGUGACCGGCCACAUUGGGACUGAGAUACGGCCCAGACUCCUACGGGAGGCAGCAGUGGGGAAUAGUGCACAAUGGGCGGAAGCCUGAUGCAGCAACGCCGCGUGCGGGAUGACGGCCUUCGGGUUGUAAACCGCUUUCGCCUGUGACGAAGCGUGAGUGACGGUAAUGGGUAAAGAAGCACCGGCUAACUACGUG